rnacentral:rRNA from 1 species
CCUACGGGAGGCAGCAGUGGGGAAUAUUGGACAAUGGGCGAAAGCCUGAUCCAGCAAUGCCGCGUGAGUGAUGAAGGCCUUCGGGUCGUAAAGCUCUUUUACCAGGGAUGAUAAUGACAGUACCUGGAGAAUAAGCUCCGGCUAACUCCGUGCCAGCAGCCGCGGUAAUACGGAGGGAGCUAGCGUUGUUCGGAAUUACUGGGCGUAAAGAGUACGUAGGCGGUUAUUCAAGUCAGAGGUGAAAGCCCGGGGCUCAACCCCGGAACUGCCUUUGAAACUAGAUAACUAGAGUCUUGGAGAGGUUAGUGGAAUUCCGAGUGUAGAGGUGAAAUUCGUAGAUAUUCGGAAGAACACCAGUGGCGAAGGCGACUAACUGGACAAGUACUGACGCUGAGGUACGAAAGCGUGGGGAGCAAACAGGAUUAGAUACCCUGGUAGUCCACGCCGUAAACGAUGAUAACUAGUUGUUCGGUCACUUGGUGACUGAGUGACGCAGCUAACGCAUUAAGUUAUCCGCCUGGGGAGUACGGUCGCAAGAUUAAAACUCAAAGGAAUUGACGGCUGAGAGNGCGACGACGACGACGAGGAGAG